AUUGAACGCUGGCGGCAGGCCUAACACAUGCAAGUCGAGCGGAGCGGCGGACGGGGGAGUAAUGCCUAGGAAUGUGCCUGGGAGUGGGGGAUAACGUCCGGAAACGGGCGCUAAUACUGCAUACUAUCAGAUGAGCCUAGGUCGGAUUAGCUAGUUGGUGGGGUAAAGGCCGACCAAGGCGACGAUCCGUAACUGGUCUGAGAGGAUGAUCAGUCACCCUGGAACUGAGACACGGUCCAGACUCCUACGGGAGGCAGCAGUGGGGAAUAUUGGACAAUGGGCGAAAGCCUGAUCCAGCCAUGCCGCGUGUGUGAAGAAGGCCUUCGGAUUGUAAAGCACUUUAAGUUGGGAGGCGUUACCCACAGAAUAAGCACCGGCUAACUCCGUGCCAGCAGCCGCGGUAAUUC
rnacentral:rRNA from 1 species